CGGACGGGUGAGUAAUGCUUAGGAAUCUGCCUAUUAGUGGGGGACAACAUUCCGAAAGGAAUGCUAAUACCGCAUACGCCCUACGGGGGAAAGCAGGGGAUCUUCGGACCUUGCGCUAAUAGAUGAGCCUAAGUCAGAUUAGCUAGUUGGUGGGGUAAAGGCCUACCAAGGCGACGAUCUGUAGCGGGUCUGAGAGGAUGAUCCGCCACACUGGGACUGAGACACGGCCCAGACUCCUACGGGAGGCAGCAGUGGGGAAUAUUGGACAAUGGGCGAAAGCCUGAUCCAGCCAUGCCGCGUGUGUGAAGAAGGCCUUUUGGUUGUAAAGCACUUUAAGCGAGGAGGAGGCUACUUAGAUUAAUACUCUAGGAUAGUGGACGUUACUCGCAGAAUAAGCACCGGCUAACUCUGUGCCAGCAGCCGCGGUAAUACAGAGGGUGCGAGCGUUAAUCGGAUUUACUGGGCGUAAAGCGUGCGUAGGCGGCUUUUUAAGUCGGAUGUGAAAUCCCUGAGCUUAACUUAGGAAUUGCAUUCGAUACUGGGAAGCUAGAGUAUGGGAGAGGAUGGUAGAAUUCCAGGUGUAGCGGUGAAAUGCGUAGAGAUCUGGAGGAAUACCGAUGGCGAAGGCAGCCAUCUGGCCUAAUACUGACGCUGAGGUACGAAAGCAUGGGGAGCAAACAGGAUUAG
rnacentral:rRNA from 1 species